UACGUAGGGAGCAAGCGUUGUCCGGAUUCACUGGGUGUAAAGGGUGCGCAGGCGGGAGAGUAAGUCAGAGGUGAAAUCUCACAGCUUAACUGUGAAACUGCCUUUGAUACUGCUUUUCUUGAGUUCGGGAGAGGUUGAUGGAAUUCCAGGUGUAGCGGUGAAAUGCGUAGAUAUCUGGAAGAACACCAGUGGCGAAGGCGGCUCACUGGCCCGGUACUGACGCUGAGGCACGAAAGCGUGGGGAGCAAACAGG
rnacentral:rRNA from 1 species